rnacentral:rRNA from 1 species
AGUAGGGAAUCUUCGGCAAUGGGGGCAACCCUGACCGAGCAACGCCGCGUGAGUGAAGAAGGUUUUCGGAUCGUAAAGCUCUGUUGUAAGUCAAGAACGGGUGUGAGAGUGGAAAGUUCACACUGUGACGGUAGCUUACCAGAAAGGGACGGCUAACUACGUGCCAGCAGCCGCGGUAAUACGUAGGUCCCGAGCGUUGUCCGGAUUUAUUGGGCGUAAAGCGAGCGCAGGCGGUUUGAUAAGUCUGAAGUUAAAGGCUGUGGCUCAACCAUAGUUCGCUUUGGAAACUGUCAAACUUGAGUGCAGAAGGGGAGAGUGGAAUUCCAUGUGUAGCGGUGAAAUGCGUAGAUAUAUGGAGGAACACCGGUGGCGAAAGCGGCUCUCUGGUCUGUAACUGACGCUGAGGCUCGAAAGCGUGGGGAGCGAACAGGAUUA